CAAUUUCUUCAUCUUUACUCGUCAACAGCUUGUUCAUCUUUUCAAUAUUCUUUGGUGAGACCUCAUCUAAAAUCUUCAUCAAUUCACAAUCUUUGUUUGCUCCAGAUUUCGCUAAUGCUUGCAUGAUAUCAUGCUCAAUUCUUAGGACUUCGUCUUUCAAUUGCAUUUGGGAUGAUUCCCUGGCUUGGAGAUCCUUCUGCAAAAGAUCUAAUUGCUCACCAAGUUUAUUUACACGAACUUCAUGUUCCUUCAAUGAACUGUUUUUGUCAUCCAACUCUUUCAAAAGUGCCAAACACUGAAGCUGUGCAGAUUGAGCUGAUGCAGCACUUGCAUCUGCAGUUGCUUGAGUAGCAGAAAGCUGUGAUCUAAGAUCAUCCAACUGCUUGAGAUACUGAAUCGCAUUCAGAACUUAAAUUAAUUAACUGCUUACAAAUAUCCAAGGAAAAAAGAGUACUGCAUUAUGUUAUUCUUAAGUGGAUUUAUUACUGGUACAAGAUCACAUUCAGAACUUAUUUUAUUAACUGCUUACAAAUACAACAAAAACAUACCCAGUAUAAUCCCACAUAGUGGGAAACUGCUUACAAAUAUCCAACGAAAAAAACUACAGCAUUAUGUUAUUCUUAAGUGGAUUAAUUACUGUUACAAGUCUCAAUAAUACAUAAAUGUAACUGAAUGAGCACAACGUAGUCAUGUUUAAACGAGUUUUGAAGUUUAAAAGGUUCUAUCUACCAGUGUCUUUCCUGACAGGGUCUUCCUCGAACUGACACAAAAUAUAAACUAAAAAUAGAAUUGGGUAGCAAAUAUUGGAGGAAGCGAGAUCGUGAGAACUGGGCAAACAGUAUCAGCUUGAACUCAAGCUAAAAGCAGAAACAAGAGAAUUUAUGCUCUAGAAAAUUGAAAUGAAGAAAAAAAAAACAUGCUAGUCUCCAAUAACUACAACUUCAACCACCCCAAAAUAAAGAAAAUAGAAAUUAUGAAAGAAAUGUAAGAAGCUAAACCCAAUCAGGCCAAAAGGCAUACAGACAAUUUAAUGAUUCCAUUCAACUGCUUCAAUUGAUAAUUUAUGCAUAUUAUUCCGGCUGUGCAGUAAUUUUCUUUCUUUGCAUUGAGGAUCGUUAUUUCUGCGGGAUUACUUAUGCGUUAUUAUUUUGUUUUGUCUUGCUUUGGUUCCUAAUUUUGUCUUUGUUCCAAUGCAGCUUUCCAUUUUAUCCUAUGCGCCGAGGNNN
rnacentral:lncRNA from 1 species